UGUGCAAUCUUGUUUUUUUCCAGUAGACUAAGGGCAAGGGCCAGGGACUCUGGUGGCAAACUGUUAAACCGCUGAGCUGCAGAACUUGCUGACUGAAAGGUUGGCAGUUUGAUUCCUUGAGCGGGAUGAGCUCCUGUCAUAAGCCCCAGCUUCUGCCAACCUAGCAGUUCAAAAAUAUGCAAAUAAAAACCACAGACUGAAAGUAGGAGCAGCAGCCAAAGCAUCUACAUGACUGUUCAUGAAAAUCCCAGAGGAAUAGCACUGUGUGAAUUUGGAGCCUGAAACUCAGUAAGGCAGGCACUGGGCAAAUCUCCUUGGGGAGGGAAUUUCACAGCUGAGGUACCAUUUUCUGAGUCUGGAAGGACUCUCAGCUCAAGUUCCUGCCUUUUGUAACAGGAGAGGAUGCCUGGGAUAGAUAAUCUCAAAAAGGAAGUGACUAGCUGAAAGGCACAGAAAUGGGAAAGCAGCAUUGUGAAAUGCAAGCAAAACCUGAACAUCUCCAAUUAGUUAAAAACAAAAACUGCUGUCAUGUUGAAUGAAUGGGACUUGCUCUCAGGUUAAGUGUGCUGAGAAUUGCAAUUUUCAUAGAAAUUUAAAAUGACAAGAGGGAAGAGUUUAGCAGUCUGCACGAAAACAGCCAAUUAGGUUGUGACUUUUUCUGCAUUCUCUACCUUGCCUAGGUGUUUGCAGAGCAUUGGCCUUUUACACCGCUUGUACUUCUUUGUUUCAUCAGUCCAGAGAUUUUCUCCAUGUUAUCUAUUUAUGAAGAAGGGAUUGUCUGUCUCUAUACAACAUUUUUCUGAGUGGGUUGCAGCAGCCACUUGUCUGCCUUAUGAACUAGCAGACAAACAGCUAUCUGCUCAAGUGAGAAGUUACUUGGCUAGACGUGUCACAGCAUUGGCUGCAUUUCCAAAAGGGGUAUUUCUACACGACAUCUGUCAAACUGUUGACCAUUAAAUUUCCUCUCAGUUUAGACUGGACUCAAGGUCUCAAAUGGAGGCUGUGUUUGGGAAAGUGGUGCUCUUCUCUUGUGUGGCAUGAUAUUCAGUCUUAGUCUGUGUGAGUCUGCUACUAGUCUGACUCACACAGAUUAGCAGUUUGCUAGUCUGCGUGAGUUAUGGAAUCCAUGAAGAAGGCCAGGUUGUUUAAUUAUAACUGAAGUUAUUUGAGUGAACUUGCACUGCAUUUUUAAUUAAAAAAUUAUAUUGCUCUUUUUAAACUAUGAUCAAAGUGUGAGAUUAUGAGCUGACUUAAAUCUCCAUAGGAAGAAAGGUGGGGUAUAAAUAAAGAAAAUAAAUAUAAGUACAUAAAUUCACAAAAACCUGUUUAUCCACCCCUUGAUGUAUCCAACUUUCUUGGAUCCUUGGCUGCUGCUUUGGUGUCAGUGGAACUGAGGUUUUAGAUGGAAAAUGCACUGGUAUGGUACACGGGGAGCGGGCAGAACUAAUGCCAAAAAGCUUAUAUAAUAGCUUUAGUAGGCGGUGAACAAUACACUAUACAGGUGCAAGUGACACAUUUGUGUGAGUCAAAAAAACCAUGAAGAAAAACCCAAUUUCCCCCCACAAAAGGAAAAGGAUGGGAAGUUGAGAGCAACAGCUGUAGCUGGCAAACAUCUUGGAAAUUCUUGGCAGAAGGGAUGGAAGGAAAUCAAAAUGUGCAUAUUUCACUCAAUACCCCUUUUGUCCUUUUGGCAAACCUUUCUACAACUUUUCAGUCCCAAAGUCAAGCAAUAUGAAUGUUUGAAAGAAAUACUGCAGGUAAUGAAUGGAGGCUGAAAGGAAGGGAAUGGGUGGAAUUCCUCACCGGAUAGGUACAAAAUAUAGCUUAAGAAUUCAUUUAGGCAAGGUGCAAUCAUUCCACAUAGUGCAUUAUUUGUACAGGUAUUUAGAAGCAAUGCAUUACAAAUUCUUUUAAAAACAUUUGCUUUUGAUUCUGUAUUGUGCAUUACUUUUGCACAUAAACAUAAUGAAAUUCAUUAUGUUCCAGCUGUGCCUAAUAAUGAUACAAACUCCAUCUCCUAUUUUUGUUCUAGCAUUCCCUAAGAGCACCAGUCACUAGUGGUUUAGUACUGCCUUCAACUCUCUGUGUUAGGACAGUAAAAAGUCUUUUCCACCCUGCAUUCAUGUGAAUGCGCAGAUACUGGGAAUGCCUUGGAUAUUAAGUGAAAGCCAGGAUAUAACCUUUUCUUAUAAGCAUCAUUUAAGAAGCUGAAUAGAUACGUAUGCUCCAGACAUACAAUAAAACUCUGAGGGUUGCAAAGGUAAACAUAAUCAGAUGCCAAGAAGUUCCUGAAUAAAUGCAAUCAAAUAAUUAAGAAACAGAGACCCUGCCAGGGAUGCUAGGUUACCACUGAGAUAAACUCAUGGCAUGAGUUUAAGUGUAGGGCUUCAGCUCCAAGUCAAGGAAUCUAUCUACUGCAAGAAAAGUGGGCUAAUUUUUGCAUAUUGUGUGUAGUGGGAGGAUUCUGCUGUCAAAUAGUGAAGAAAAUAAUACUUACUUUGUUAGCUCCACAAUAAGAGUGGCUUUUGUGGCCGACAUCAGAUUCAAAUUUGGCUGUAGGAAGUGCACCAUGCUACAAAAGACAAACAAGUACUUAUCAAUGUAACUUCCCUGUCUGGUGAUGUACAAACAUCCCUUAAUUUAAAAUUGACUAAAUUACUAUGCACUUCCUCAACAUUUGCUCCAGGGGAAACAAGAAACUAUUUUCCCAAAAAAGUUCCUUCCUGCCUUACAACAGCAGUGUAUGUGUGCUGACGGUGCUGCAUGCGUGAAAUUUCCCCCGGGGGCACUGCAGUUCCCAGCAUCAAACAUGGUUCAGAGUUGUUUAAAAAUUUAGCCGUACUGUUCCUUCCACUAGCUGGUUAUUAGAUUAUUUUCCUCUUUUCUCUCCAUCUUUUGUCCUCCUUAUCCCUUUUUGUGUAAUGUUUAUUACAUUGCAAGCCCUGUACCCUGGCAGAAAAUUGAUGUAUAAAACUUAAUAAACAAGUAAACGUA